CGGAGUCCAAGUACUGCCUCUGGAGUCGACUCCCACCUCAAACCUCACUCGAAUGAUGGCGUCCCAGUCCUCUCUCAGAAGACGUCCAUCAGCAACGUGAUUCUGUCCUCCCAGCCAAGCUGGCAGCUCCCGGAGCCCCUGCCCUAUCGCUGGUCUCCCGGGCUGUGCAGGCCCUGCAGGGACUGUGAGCCCUCCUCACGCGGAGGAAGCAGAGGGGGCUGGACCUGCCGGCCUGGCACAUGCACGUGGAGAGGCCGACUGUUGUGCACACUCACGCAGGCACACACACACUUGCUCACACACACACUGAACUCAUGCUCACACAUGCCUGUCAGGCUCACACUCACACUCGCUCAUCCGUGCACUGACACUCAUACACGGCCAGCGUCCUAAGGCGGAAGAGUGAAGGAGAAAGGCCUGCACUCCAAGGCUGGGCUGCAAGUGCAGCGGGGGUGAGGGGUGGGGGAUCGCCGGAGCAGAAAUAAAUUACAGCCAACCCGGUCAACACGUUUCCAAAUUUUCCAAGACGUUUGCUGACGUCGUUAGCUGGUGACAUCCUCUUCUUCACAUUUUUAAAGCUUAAAAAUAAAAGUCCUGGAUCCAAAAAAAAAAA
rnacentral:lncRNA from 1 species